GCCCCUUUAGCUCAGUUUGGUAGAGCGCAUCACUCGUAUCAAGUUCAUGAUGAGGUCGGUUGUUCGAGUCAGCCAGGGGGCA